CCCCUUACCUGGCGGAGGACAGACAGUGUUAGGAAAGGGGUUCUCCCUGGACUAGGCUAGUCCACCGCACUUCGGCUGCGCUGACCCCUGCGAUUGCCCCACACGCGGGGCCCUCGUCUGCGGU
rnacentral:snRNA from 10 species